rnacentral:lncRNA from 1 species
UAAAAAGAGGAUGCUGUGGGUAAGGGCAAAAGGGAUUCCUGCCCCAGAUGGGAAUAUUGCAGAUCAACUCAAGGAGGCAGCAGGGAAGAACUGAAGAAAGCAGAGAUGGGGUGAGCCAAGACAUAGCCAGUGGCACAAAUGAUCCAGGCCAGACAUUCUCCACAAUGGCUUCUGGAUCCCAGGGCGGAGUGGCGGAACAUUGUAAUCGAAAAUUCGUCAGACAGGCAGAGAAACCUCUGACUCCCUCUGCCUUCCAGAAGGAGAUGUCUCUCAGCACCAAGCAGAGGCUGGCCAGAGCUAAGAAGCUAAAUCUGCCCCAGGUUGUCCAGACUCAACAAAGCAUGGAAGUCCCAUCACAAGGUAGCCAUUCCCUGCAUUCCCCUUUUUGUUUGAGGUGACAUUUGGUGAGGGUGCCAAAAGAGCAGCUUGACUUGAGCCUGCCCAGUGUGGUCCAGCACCUAUGGAGCUCUUUCAGGAUUUUACCUCCAGGCAUGACUGGAUCUUAGUUGGAUCUGCACUCAGAGGCACCAGGAAGCUGCUGAGGCAUGCAAGGAGCUCAAGUGACACAGGGGGAGGGUGGCAGGAGCCUUUCAGCACUUGCUCCUUGCCAAGGGAACUCUGCAGGGCACGGGAGAGGAAGGAGGGAAUGCGUCAAAGAAGGUUUGAUGGGGAUGGCCCAGGGGACAGGCAGGCUGAGAAGACAGGUCCUCAUCUAGGAGAAAACAUCAGACCACAUCAGCUCCUGACUUCCUUGUGCCCAAAAGCUCGAGCCUCCAGCCCUGGGUGCAGUGUGCCCUCCUGAGGGCUCAUCACCCCAGCACAGCCUGAGGUGAGCGCAGCUCUGCUGCUAACAGGAGGGGCCCUCUGCCAGAAAGAGCCACUCUGAGCAAAUAAAAGCUCUUCUGCCAGCUGCC